AACGAACGCUGGCGGCAUGCCUAACACAUGCAAGUCGAACGAGACCUUCGGGUCUAGUGGCGCACGGGUGCGUAACGCGUGGGAACCUGCCCUUAGGUUCGGAAUAACUCCCCGAAAGGGGUGCUAAUACCGGAUAAUGUCUUCGGCCCAAAGAUUUAUCGCCUUUGGAUGGGCCCGCGUUGGAUUAGCUAGUUGGUAGGGUAAAAGCCUACCAAGGCGACGAUCCAUAGCUGGUCUGAGAGGAUGAUCAGCCACACUGGGACUGAGACACGGCCCAGACUCUUACGGGAGGCAGCAGUGGGGAAUAGUGGACAAUGGGCGAAAGCCUGAUCCAGCAAUGCCGCGUGAGUGAUGAAGGCCUUAGGGUUGUAAAGCUCUUUUACCCGGGAUGAUAAUGACAGUACCGGGAGAAUAAGCCCCGGCUAACUACGUG
rnacentral:rRNA from 1 species